AGAGUUUGAUCAUGGCUCAGAAUCAACGCUGGCGGCGUGCCUAACACAUGCAAGUCGAACGCGAAAGGGGCUUCGGCCCUGAGUAGAGUGGCGAACGGGUGAGUAACGCGUGGGUGACCUACCUUCGAGUGGGGGAUAACGUUCCGAAAGGAGCGCUAAUACCGCAUGAAGUUCCGGGUUUGAACAUCUGGAAACCAAAGCCGGGGAUCGCAAGACCUGGCGCUUGGAGAGGGGCCCGCGUCUGAUUAGCUAGUUGGCGGGGUAAUGGCCCACCAAGGCGACGAUCAGUAGCCGGCCUGAGAGGGCGGACGGCCACACUGGGACUGAGACACGGCCCAGACUCCUACGGGAGGCAGCAGUGGGGAAUUGUUCGCAAUGGGCGCAAGCCUGACGACGCAACGCCGCGUGGGGGAUGAAGGUCUUCGGAUUGUAAACCCCUGUCGAGCGGGACGAAUGGCCCGCGGUCUAACACACCGUGGGAAUGACGGUACCGCUAAAGGAAGCCACGGCUAACUCUGUGCCAGCAGCCGCGGUAAUAC
rnacentral:rRNA from 1 species